rnacentral:lncRNA from 1 species
ACCAGCUUUUUCUGAUUGGCUUCCAUCCAGCUGGUAGCAUCUUGAAAGUGAUAAAACUCCACGAAGGCGAAACCACGGCUUACACCUGUCUUUCUCUUCAUCAGCCUCACGUCUGCAGGCUGAGGACUUUCAAAGGACUCAAUAAGCUCCCGGAUAUCGUUCUCGGUAACCGUGAUGGGCAGGCCACGCAACAUGAUGGUCUUGCUUUCCUUCUCGUCGUUAAUGUCGUUCCUGUAGUCGUGCUCUCCGUAGUCGCCGUCGGAGUGGUACCCAUCUUCGGAUUUAUCGCUGUUCCUACGCUCCCGUUCCCUCUCGGGGCUGUCGUAGUCGCGGCUGUCGUAGUCUCUGUCGUAGUCCCGGCUGUCGUAGUCCCUGCUGUCGCGGCUGUCGUAGUCGCGGCAAUCCCGGCUGUCGUAGUCGCGGCAGUCGUAGUCGCGGCUGUCCCGGCUGUCGUAGUCUCGGCAGUCGCGGCUGUCGUAGUCCCUGCAGUCCCGGCCGUCGCGACUAUCGUAAUCUCUGCAGUCCCGGCUGUCGCGGCUAUCGUAGUCGCGGCUGUCGUAGUCUCGGCAGUCUCGGCUAUCGCGGCUGUCGUAGUCUCGGCUAUCGUAGUCGCGGCUGUCGUAGUCGCGAUAGUCGUCGUAGCGGUCCCCGCGGCGCUCCUCGCUGGACCGCUUGUAGUCGUCCCUGCGGCGGCUCCGCGACUCCCGCUCGUCGCGGUCCUCCCUCUCCACAAUGGAGCCGUAGCGACCGCUACGCUCCGUCCUGCUCACGCGCUUGUCCGAGCCCAUGGCGCUGCCCACGAUCCGCAAGCCUCCGGCACGGCGCUGACCGCCACUACGCGGCGCCGAACACACGCCCGCAGCCCCCGCUCCCUCGCCACAAAAUGGCGCCGAGCUGACUGGCCG